UUUACGGGGUGGAGGCGCUGAUCAGCUCAGGUGGCUUGCAAAACGCGGAUGGAGACGAGCCAGGCAGCCGAGGAAAGCUCUUCACACGUGUCCAGCUGCCUUUCCACGGCUUCUGCAGCUCAAGAUGCUGCUGCGGCUGCUGGCUGGCUCCUGCCUCCGCCGCCGCUGUAAUGUAUCCCCUCCGCUGCUUGCGCCCUUUUCGAGCAGCCAGGCUGCAUCUCCCCCUCUCUCUCGUCAGUUUUCCCCAUCCCAGCUUCACGUUCAAGGUUUAACAGCGAGGUCACGUCCAUUGACGUCAGCUCGAGUCUUACUGUACGUCCGGCUGCAUUUACAUACAUCAAGGAAAUUAGGGCAUUAAAAAUAUGCAAAUCCUGCUGCUUGAAGAAGAGACUGUAGAUUCCCGGAGCGAUCGUCCCUGUUAUUGAAGAUUGUAAUUAAAGGAACAGAAACAAACCAACCCUCCCCCUCCCCCCCGCAUCUCCCCAAAAAACAACAACAACCAAAAACCCCGAAUGACAAAUAUCUGUUAGGCACUGAGAAGAGAUUUCUGCUGCUCCGGUUCUGUGGCUGACUGAGGACGGCCGGCCUGCAGCACUGCACGGAGAAGAGAACAGGUUAGAGGAGGCUGCUCCAGACGUCUCUCUAUGCAUAAUCAGGGCUUCGCCGCUGCGCCAUUCUCCUCUCCUCCUCCUGCUGCUGCUGCUCCUGUUGGUUCCAGCGUGUAUUAUUUUUAAUACUGAUGCAUAUGUAAAGAGCCUGCUAUUCAGAGCUGAUGAGCCCAUGAAUGUUCACCGAACACAAUCGUGAUGCCCAGCACCUCAGAUGAUCAGGCCCUGAAAGUCUGCAGUACUUGGUACCUUGGGGUGCCGUUGACUUGUGUUUGUGGAGAAAUGGACGAGGACAAGACAGACAAAGGAGACAAAGAACUGAUGUCUAGCAGUUUUCACCUCAAGGGUUGAAGAAGCUACUACUGGUUCAGAAGGUGUUUACCACAAAGGUCCUUUGCAUGGAUAAACCUUUAGAGUCACAGACCUUAUGGACAGAAGGGACCACCAGAUCAUCCAGUCUGACCUCUUGCAUAUCGCAGGCACCAACAGCACCGAACACCCACACACUAAACCCAACAACCCAAAUUAGGCCAAAAUAUUACAGCUCACUGGAGAUUAGACUAUUAUGGGCCACGGGCACAGAAUAGGAGGGACUGAGGAGGACAAGGGCCUGAGGUCCCUGCACUGACAGGGAUAUGAUUAAAUGAGAGAUACCCAGAUAAUCCUGGCAAGUGAUCUACACCCAAUGCUGUGGAGGAAGGCAACCCCUCCUCCCAGGUCACUGUCAAUCUAAUCUGGGGGAAUACUCCUUCCUAACCCCAUAUAUGGUGAUCAGUCAGACCCUGAGCAUGUGAAAAAGGACUAGCCAGCCAAGCACCUCAAAGUGAGAAUGCUUGGUGCCACCUCAAAGCCCUGGCCCUCUCUAUCCAAUGUCCCACCUCCAGCCAUGGCCAUCCCUGAUGCUUCAGAGGAAGCAGAUGUGAAAAAAAAAAAAAAACCACCAGAAGACACUGGGGAGAUGGGGUAGGGAACCUUGCCUGACCUCUGCAGGUGUCGGGCUGAAUUUUGUGGUUACACUGAG